UACGAAGGGGGCGAGCGUUGUUCGGAAUUACUGGGCGUAAAGCGUGCGCAGGCGGUUCGUUAAGUCAGAUGUGAAAGCCCCGGGCUCAACCUGGGAACUGCAUUUGAAACUGGCGGGCUUGAGUAUGGCAGAGGGGGGUGGAAUUCCGCGUGUAGCAGUGAAAUGCGUAGAGAUGCGGAGGAACACCGAUGGCGAAGGCAGCCCCCUGGGCCAAUACUGACGCUCAGGCACGAAAGCGUGGGGAGCAAACAGG
rnacentral:rRNA from 1 species